AGAGCAUCAUGAGAAAAAUGAAGCAAAGCGAGAGAAUGAAGGAGCUAGCUACAACACCAACAUGAUUAAAACAGAGCUAGCUACAACAGCUACAGUAGGAGUUGAGGGAUUUGCCUUCCAUAAGGAUCUUAAGAAGAAAGAAGUCAAGACAGAGGAUGAAGAAGCAUGUGGAAAGAAGUACUAUGACAAGGAAAGUGAAAAAGGUAUUGGCUGCAAAGAAGAGGAGAUGCACUGCGAUCAUUUUGAGCACUUGAGUAAACUUGGUGUCGCUAUUGACGGCACUUAUGCCAUGGUACUCUUGAAUUAUUGAUCAUUUUAUAUAAUAAUAAUAGUUUUUUUGGAUUACAUGGUUAUGAACUUAGAUAUAUUUAAUUUUUUAUGUUAGCAUGAUAAGUGCGAGGAGAAGAAAGAUUCAAAGAAUGCCUACAUUCAUAAGAUAAAAGAGGAGAUAGUUACAGUAGCUGCGGUAGGAGCUAAGGGAUCUGCCCUCCAAGAGCAUCAUGAGAAAAAAGAAGUAAAGAAGGAGAAUGAAGGAGCUAGCUACAAUAGCUACAUGAUAAAAAAAGAGCUAGCUACGGUAGGAGUUGAGGGAUUUGCCUUCCAUGAGGAUCUUGAGAAGAAAGAAGUCAAGAAAGAGAAUGAAGAAGCAUAUGGAAAGAAGCACUACCCCAAGGAAAGCAUAGAAGCUAUUGGCUGCAAUGAAGAAGAGAUGCACCACGGUCAUCUUGAGCACUUGAGUAAACUUGGUGUUAGUAUUGCUAACACUUAUGCUAUGGUACUCUUGUAUUGUUGAUUAUUCUAUACAAUAAUAAUAUUUUUUUUUCGAUUACAUGUCAUCAAUUUAGAUAUAUUUAAUUUAUUUAUGUCAGUGUGAUAAGCACGAGGAAGAGUUAGACUCAGAGCAUGCCUACAACUACAAAAUAAAAGAGGAGAUAGUUACAACAGCUGCGGUAGGAGUUGAGGGAUAUGCCUUACAAGAGCAUCAUAAGAAAAAAGAACUAAAGAAAGAGAUUGAAGGAGCUAGCUACAACACCUACAUGAUAAAAAAAGAGCUAGCUACAGUAUCUACAAUAGGAGUUGAUGGAUUUACAUUCAAUGAGGAUCUUGAGAAGCAAGAAGUCAAGAAAGAGGAUGAAGAAUCAUAUGGAAAGAAGCACUACCCCAAGGAAAGCGAAGAAGCGAUUGGCUGCAAAGAAGAGGAGAUGCACCACGAUCAACUUGAGCACUUCAGUAAACUCGCUGUUGGUGUGGUGAACACUUAUGCUAUGGUACUCUUAAAUAGUUGACUAUUUUAUAUAAUAAUAAUAGUUUUUUUGGAUUAUAUGUUAUGAACUUAGAUAUUUUUCUUUCUGCAUGAUAAGCAUGAGGAAAAGAAAGACUCAAAGUAUGCUCACAAUUAUAAGAUAAAAGAGGAGAUAGUUACAGCAGCUGCAGUAGGAGCUGAGGGAUCUGCCUUCCAAGAGCAUCAUGAAAAAAAAGAAGUAAAGAAAGAGAAUGAAGGAGCUAGCUACAAUUGCUACAUGAUAAAAAAAGGGCUAGCUACAGUAGGAGUUAAUGGAUUUGCUUUCAAUGAGGAUCUUGAAAAGAAAGAACCCAAGAAAGAGGAUGAAGAAGGAUAUGAAAAGAUGCACUACAACAAGGAAAGCGAAGAAGCUAUUGGCUACAAAGAAGAGAUGCACCACAAUCAACUUAAGCACUACAGUAAACUUGGUGUUGGUGUUGUUGAAACUUAUGCUAUGGUACUCUUGAAUUUUUUAUCAUUUUAUAUAAUAAUAAUAAUAUUUUUUGGAUUACAUGUUAUGCAUUUAGAUAUAUUUAAUUUGUUUAUGUCAGCGUGAUAAGCACGAGGAAAAGAAAGACUCAGAGCAUACUUACAAUUAUAAGAUAAAUGAGGAGAUAGUUACACUAGCUACGGUAGGAGCUGAGGGGUCUGCCUUCCAAGAGCAUCAUGAGAAAAAAGAAGUAAAGAAAGAGAAUGAAGGAGGUAGCCACAACAACUACAUGAUAAAAAAAGAGCUAGCUACAGCAAGUACAGUAGGAGUUGUGAGAUUUGCCUUCCAUGAGGAUCUUGAAAAGAAAGAAGUCAAGAAAGAGGAUGAAGAAGCCUAUGGAAAGAAGUACUACCAUAACGAAAGCGAAGAAGCUAUUGGCUACAAAGAAGAGGAGAAGCACCAUGAUCAUCUUGAGCACUUGAGUAAACUUAGUGUUGGUGCUGCUGCCACUUAUGCCAUGGUACUCUUAAAUUGUUGAUGAUUUUCUACAAUAAUAAUAGUUUUUUGGAUUACAUGUUAUGAACUUAGAUAUAUUUAAUUUGUUUAUGCCAACAUGAUAAGCACGAGGAAAAGAAAGACUCAAAGCAUGCCUACAACUACAAAAUAAAAGGGGAGAUAGUUACAGUAACUGCGAUAGGAGCUGAGGGAUAUAUCUUCCAAGAGCAUCAUGUGAAAAAUGAAGAAAAGAAAGAGAAUGAAGAAGAUAGCUACAAUAGCUACAUAAUAAAAAAAGAGCUAGCUACAGUAGGAAUUGAUGGAUUUUCCUUCGAUGAGGAUCUUGAGAAGAAAGAAGUCAAGAAAGAUGAUGAAGAAGCGUAUGGAAAGAAGUAUUAUCCAAAGGAAAACGAAGAAGCUAUUGGCUGCAAAGAAGAGGAGAUGCACAACGAUCAACCUGAGCACUUGAGUGAACUUGGUGUUGGUGUUGUUGGAACUUAUGCCGUGGUACCCUUGAAUUGUUGAUCAUUUUAUAUAAGAAUAAUAGUUUUUUGGAUUAUAGGUUAUAAACUUAGAUAUAUUUAAUUUUUUUAUGCCAGCAUGAUAAGCAAGAGAAAAAGAAAGACUCAAAGCUUACCUACAACUAUAAGAUAAAAGAGGAAAUAAUUACUUUAUAAUUGUUGAUCAUUUUAUAUAAUAAUAAUAGUUCUUUGGAUUACAUGUUAUGAACUUAGAUAAACUUAAUUUAUUUAUGUCAGCAGGAUAAGCACCGGGAAAAGAACAACUCAGAGCAUGCCUACAACUAUAAGAUAGAAGAGGAGAUAGUUACAGCAACUACGACGGGAGCUGAAGGAUUUUCCUUCCAAGAGCAUCAUGAUAAAAAAGAAGUAAAGAAAGAAAAUGAAGGAGCUAACUAUAACAACUACAUGAUAAAAAAAGAUCAAGCUACAACAACUAUAGUAGGAGUUGAGGGAUUUGCCUUUCACGAGGAUCAUGAGAAGAAAGAAGACAAGAAAGAGGAUGAAGAAGCAAAUGGAAAGAAGCACUGCCAUAAAGAAAGCGAAGAAGCUAUUGGCUAUAAACAAGAAAAGAUGCACCAUGAUCAUCUUGAGCACUUGAGUAAACUUAGUGUUGGUGUUGCUGACACUUAUGCCAUGGUACUCUUGAAUUGUUGAUCAUUUUAUACAAUAAAAAUAUAUUUUGGAUUACAUGUUAUAAACUUUGAUAUAUUUAAUUUGUUUAUAUCAGCAUUAUAAGAACGAGGAAAAGAAAGAUUCCGAGCAUGCCUACAACCUCAAGAUAAAAGAGGAGAUAAUUACAGCAGCUACAGUAGGACUAGAGGGAUCUGCCUUCCAAGGGCAUCGUGAGAAAAAUGAAGCAAAGAGAGAGAAUGAAGGAGCUAUCUACAACACCAACAUGAUUAAAACAGAGCUAGCUACAACAGCUACAGUAGGAGUUGAGAGAUUUGCCUUCCAUGAGGAUCUUAAGAAGAAAGAAGUCAAGACAGAGGAUGAAGCAGCAUAUGGAAAGAAGUACUAUCACAAGGAAAGUGAAAAAGGUAUU
rnacentral:lncRNA from 1 species